rnacentral:misc_RNA from 1 species
AGGUACACAAACACAUGACUAGUAAUACUUAUUUUCAAGAACUAUUAUCAAGGGUGUUAAUAAGAAUCUGUAUUGUGCUCUAUUUGGCUUUCACAAAGCACGAUUUCUGACCUACAGUGAGUACUGACUCAUUCAUGCCCAAGAAGACAUAUUUCAGGUUCCUCUAUAACCAAUGCUAUCUUUAAUCGCCUCCAUAGGCAAUCCUUCAAAUAUACUUUCCUUUGGUCGAAAGAAAGCUGGUUGAAUUCUAGUUAUAUUUUAUUUUAUUUUUAGCGAGAAUUCAGAGGACGCAAUUUGUUAGCAUUGGGUGAAUUACAUAAUUACCAAUUUGUCCUCGUGUUUUUUUGGCCAAAGUCUUGGUGGAGGGAAGGUAGAAACUACCUAUUUGACAUGUUUUCUGGUCCUUUAAUUCUGUCAAA